rnacentral:rRNA from 1 species
GAUGAACGCUGGCGGCGUGCCUAACACAUGCAAGUCGAGCGUGAUUUAUGAGGACGAAACUUCGGUCUAGGAAUCAUAAUGAAAGCGGCGGACGGGUGAGUAACGCGUAGGCAACCUGCCCUUGACACAGGGAUAGCCUCGGGAAACCGGGAUUAAAACCUGAUGACGCCAAACAGUCACAUGGCUGUUUGGCCAAAGAUUUAUCGGUCAAGGAUGGGCCUGCGUCUGAUUAGUUAGUUGGUGGGGUAACGGCCUACCAAGACGACGAUCAGUAGCCGACCUGAGAGGGUGAUCGGCCACAUUGGAACUGAGACACGGCCCAAACUCCUACGGGAGGCAGCAGUGGGGAAUAUUGCACAAUGGGCGAAAGCCUGAUGCAGCAACGCCGCGUGAGCGAUGAAGGCCUUUGGGUCGUAAAGCUCUGUCCUUGGGGAAGAAACAAAUGACGGUACCCAAGGAGGAAGCCCCGGCUAACUACGUGCCAGCAGCCGCAGUAA